UCAUGUAUUUUAUGGAAGGAAUUCCGGUAUGCUGCUUUGUUUUCAACUACGACCUUUUUCUUCACAACAGCUGCAUGAAAAGGAUGAAGAAAAUAGGUGUAGAAAACAAACCUCAUCACCAGAAGUCUCUGAAGAAAAUGGUCGUGAAACUUAAAGAAGACGUAAAGGUCUCACCUGUAGAAAAUAUAGAAAAUCAUUUUUAUGUACAGUUAACAGACUGGGAAAAAUCAUAGAAGUCUCAAGAAAGGAGAGGGGUAUGUUCAGUUCUCCAGGAUGUUACCUUUAUAGUUUGAAAAACUGCCAAAAUGGAAAGGUUUUAACAUCACUGGAAGAUGGGACAGGACAGAGUUUUAAUGAAGAAGUUUGAUAUUUUAAAGAUGUGUUGCUUGUUUAGGCAAGAAUCAUUACCCAAGCUUCCAAUUCCAUUGUCAAGAACAUCACAUAUAGAAAAGCCGAAGAACUUCUAUACCCAGUGAAAUAGCAGUUUUAUGUUUUGAUUGACUGAGUUAACAAAUUUGUUUUGCUCUUCAUCAGUAUCUGUAUAAAUUAUAUAUUUUACAAGUUUGCUAUUGGUAUAUGGUUUACAGGUAUAUUUAUACCUCUGCUCCGAAGGAGAGGGGGGUAUACUGUUUUACCCUUGUGUGCCUGUCUGUGUGUCUGUUGAUAACAAAUUUUCGUCGCAGUUUUCUCAGCAAUUCCUCUUCUUGAAUGCUUGAAAUGUUAACACAAUCUUCUCUGAGGCAUGCCAUAUAGUGGGAUACAUUUUUAGCUCUUCUGAGCCAAAGGCUCAAAGAGCUAAUGCUAUGGCCAUUUGUGCGGUGUGCGGUGUGUGUUAACUUUUUAGAAUAUGGGUCAUAACUCAAGAACCCCUUGGCCAAUCAGUGUCAAAUUUGUCACAGGGUAUCCUUGGCCCAAGGGCUACCAUUUAUACUAAAAUAAGGGUUGGGACCCUAAAACAAGGGGAGAUAAUCAGGAAAACAAAACCAAAAGUACUGGUUGCAAAAAAAUCUUCUUCUCCAUAACCACUGGGCAGAUUUUCACCAAACUUAGAUACAAUGAUCAGGAUAUGUUGAAGAUUAAAAAUUGUUCAAGGCAUGACCCUGGGGCAAAGGGCGUGGUCUCAAGGUCACUUCAAAGUUGACCUAAAUUUACAAUUAAUGAAAAUGUCUAUAUUUUGCUUACUAUAAGGACUAGGAUCAUCAAAUCUUGUAAGUAGAUGCAUCUUAAGACUUCACAUCAUGUUAACUCAAAAGUAGGUCACGGUGACCUACUUUUUUAAUUUUGCGGGCAUUUGUUUUCAAAUUGAUUUGAAGGCAUAUUUUGGAUACUUUAAGGCCUAUGAUCAUCAAACUUUGUUAGUUGAUGCAUCUUGGGUCCUUGAACAAGGUCAACUUAAAAGUAGGUCACCUUGACCUACUUUUUGAACUUUAUGACUUAUCCUUUUUAAAACAUUUUAUCCCAUUAUUUCAGACACUGAGAGGGUUAGAAUCAUCAAAUCUUGUAAGUUGCUGCAUCUUGGGACCUUAAAACAUAUUUAAGUAAAAGUAGGUCACUGUGACCUACUUUUAGAAUUUUGCAGGCAUUUGUUUUCAAAUUGUUUAAAAGGCAUAUUUUGAUUACCUUCAGACCAAUGAUCAUCAAACUUGGUCAGCUGAUGCAUCUUGGGACUCAGAAAAAUGUCAACCAAAAUGUAGGUCACUGUGACCUAAUUUCGACAUUUUAUGGCUGUAUUUCAGUAUCUUAGGUAUUUAUUGGCUUAGAAUCAUCAAACUUUGUUAGUUGAUGCAUCUUGGGUUUUCGGAGAGUGACGACCAAAAAUUAGGUCAUGGUGACCUACUUUCAAUAUUUUAUGGCUAUAUUUAUGUAUCUCCAGUACUUAUCGGUUUAGAAUCAUCAAACUUUGUCAGUUGAUGCAUCUUGGGUUUUCGGAGAAUGUCGACCAACAAGUAGGUCACGGUGAACUACUUUUGACAUUUAAUGGCUAUAUUUAUGUAUUUCUGGUACUUCUCGCUUUAGAAUCAUCAAACUUUGUUAGUUUAUGCCUCUUGGGUUUUCAGAGAAUGUCGACCAAAAAGUAGGUCACAGUGACCUACUUUUGAAUAUCUCAGGUAUUUAUUGGCUUAGAAUUAUCAAACUUUGUCAGCAGAUGCAUCUUAGGCCUCAGAAAAAUGUCAACCAAAAUGUAGGUCACGAUGACCUACUUUUGACAUUAAAUGGCUAUAUUUAAGUAUCUCCGGUACUUAUUGGCGUAAAAUCAUCAAACUUUGUUAGUUUAUGCCUUUUGGGUUUUCAGAGAGUGUCGACCAAAAAGUAGGUCACGGUGACAUACUUUUGAAUAUCUCAGGUAUUUAUUGGCUUAGAAUCAUCAAACUUUGUCAGUUGAUGCAUCUUGGGUUUUCCAAGAAUGUUGACCAAAAUGUAGGUCAAGGUGAUCUACUUUUGAAUAUCUCAAAUACAUAUUGGCUUAGAAUCUUCAAUCUUAGUUUGUCUAUUAAUGCAUCUUGAGUCCUCAGAAAACUUCAAUCUUAAAGUAGGUCACCGUGACCUACUCAUGUUUUUUUUUUAUAGCUUUAUUAAAAUAUCUUCAGUCCUAAUUGGCUAAGAAUCAUCAAACUUUUUAUCAGUUGAUGCAACUUGGGUUUCAGGAUACUUAGGGUUAGAGGCUUCAAAUACAAGUGAUAGGUUGUACAAUUUAUCAGAAGAGCGAUUCAAGGCCCUUGGGCCUCUUGUUAUUCAAAUCCGAUGUCAACUUCCUGUUUGUCUGUGCAUCCAUCGUUUUCAUACAUAACAAAUUUUAUCACAGUUUUCUCAUUAACUACUUAUAGCAGAUGUUUGAAAUUGUACUACACUCUUUGUUUUGGCAUGCCAUAUGGUGGAAUUAAUUUUGAAAUGAAUCUGAUGUCAACUUCAUAUUUUUCUGUGAAUCUGCCUGUAAGUGUAUAUUAACAUGAUAGUGUGUAUUUACAUCAGAGCGGGGAUAUUACUAGUGAGCAUUGGCUCAGUGAUUUCUUGUUUGAUCAGCAUCUGAUGAAAUUUUAUUGUUAUGACAUACAAAUGGACUCUAUCAGAGCUGAUCCAGUGUGUCUGGUUAAUUUAGAUAAACUCAUAAACCCUGUAAAUUUUGAGUUCAGUCAAAUUAAAUGCACUCCAGAUUGCUUUACUUGUAAUUCUUAUUUGAACCAUAGUUUACAUAUUGGUAUAUGAAUACUUGAUGUUAAUAAACGAUGAAAACGAAGUCGAGAUGAGCUUAUGCUAUACCCCCGGCUUCAGCGUUAGCAUCGGCGUCCCAGGUUAAAGUUUUAGGAGCAAGUCCAUUCCCAAGUAACUAUUAGCCCUUCCUGGACCAAACUUGCAUGGAUGAUGCAUCUAGAGAUGGAAACA